GAUGAACGCUGGCGGCGUGCCUAAUACAUGCAAGUCGAGCGAACAGACGAGGAGCUUGCUCCUCUGACGUUAGCGGCGGACGGGUGAGUAACACGUGGAUAACCUACCUAUAAGACUGGGAUAACUUCGGGAAACCGGAGCUAAUACCGGAUAAUAUAUUGAACCGCAUGGUUCAAUAGUGAAAGACGGUUUUGCUGUCACUUAUAGAUGGAUCCGCGCCGCAUUAGCUAGUUGGUAAGGUAACGGCUUACCAAGGCAACGAUGCGUAGCCGACCUGAGAGGGUGAUCGGCCACACUGGAACUGAGACACGGUCCAGACUCCUACGGGAGGCAGCAGUAGGGAAUCUUCCGCAAUGGGCGAAAGCCUGACGGAGCAACGCCGCGUGAGUGAUGAAGGUCUUCGGAUCGUAAAACUCUGUUAUUAGGGAAGAACAAAUGUGUAAGUAACUAUGCUCGUCUUGAUGGUACCUAAUCAGAAAGCCACGGCUAACUACGUG
rnacentral:rRNA from 1 species